CCAAUAGCGUAUAUUAAAGUUGUUGCAGUUAAAAAGCUCGUAGUUGAAUUUCGGAGUUUGUCGGUUGGUCGGGCUUCAUUGUCCGCACUGACCUGAUGGAUUCCUACCUUCUGAAUAACCAGCAUGCUAUUAAUUUAGUGCGUUGGGGAAGCAGAGCUAUUACCUUGAAAAAAUUAGAGUGCUUAAAGCAGGCUUAUGCUUGAAUAGAUUAGCAUGGAAUAAUAAAAUAGGACGGCAUGGUUCUAUUUUGUUGGUUUCUAGGAUCACCGUAAUGAUUAAUAGGGAUAGUUGGGGGCAUUAGUAUUCAAUUGUCAGAGGUGAAAUUCUUGGAUUUAUUGAAGACUAACUUCUGCGAAAGCAUUUGCCAAGGAUGUUUUCAUUAAUCAAGAACGAAAGUUAGGGGAUCGAAGACGAUCAGAUACCGUCGUAGUCUUAACCAUAAACUAUGCCGACUAGGGAUCGGACGAUGUUAAUUUUUUAAUGACUCGUUCGGCGCCUUACG
rnacentral:rRNA from 1 species